UACGUAGGGCGCAAGCGUUGUCCGGAAUUAUUGGGCGUAAAGGGCUCGUAGGCGGUCCGUCGCGUCGGGAGUGAAAACUCGGAGCUUAACUCCGAGCCUGCUUUCGAUACGGGCAGACUAGAGGUAGGCAGGGGAGAGCGGAACUCCUGGUGUAGCGGUGGAAUGCGCAGAUAUCAGGAAGAAUACCGGUGGCGAAGGCGGCUCUCUGGGCCUUACCUGACGCUGAGGAGCGAAAGCGUGGGUAGCGAACAGG
rnacentral:rRNA from 1 species